rnacentral:lncRNA from 1 species
GGAUAUGGAAUUCUAGAUCUCUAAUCCCUCAUCAUAGCUAAUGAUUGAAAGAGUAGUCUUACAUUUUUUUUUAAUGAUUGUGAAUGUGUAAUGAUAGGCAUCCUUUUAAGUUUUUUUUUUCAAUGAUAGUAUUGGUUUGAUCUAGACUGUAAACUACUAAUAAGUAUAUACAUGAAACCAUAUUCUUUUACAGUUCUGGGGGUGUGAGAUUCUAGAUCUUUAAUCCUCAUCAUAGCUAAUGAUUGAAAGAGUAGUCUUACAUUCUUUUUUUUUUAUAUGAGUGUGAAUGUGUAAUGAUAGGCAUCCUUUUAAGUUUUUUUUUCAAUGAUAGUAUUGGUUUGAUCAAGACUGUAAACUACUAAUAAGUAUAUACAUGAAACCAACUUGAUAUUCUUUUACGGUUUUGGGGGUGUGAAAUUCUUUCUUUAAUGUGAAAGAGGUACAUGUCUUUUGCAUGAAGUGUCCAGGUGCAGGAUGGUACCGUACUAUUCCUUUUUUGUGUGUGUUGAUGAGUCAUCGUAAUC